ACAAGGAGACCGUACCGCAAACCGACACAGGUGGGCAGGAUGAAAAUUCUAAGGCGCUAGAGAGAACUCAGGAGAAGGAACUCGGCAAAUUUGCACCGUAACUUCGGGAAAAGGUGCGCCCUGAUAGGUUGUAGCCCCUCGCGGGUGAAGGCUGAAAGGGUUGCAGUGAAAUGGUGGCUGCGACUGUUUAAUAAAAACACAGCACUCUGCAAACACGAAAGUGGACGUAUAGGGUGUGACGCCUGCCCGGUGCCGGAAGGUUAAGUGAUGGGGUGCAAGCUCUUGAUCGAAGCCCCGGUAAACGGCGGCCGUAACAAUAACGGUCCUAAGGUAGCGAAAUUCCUUGUCGGGUAAGUUCCGACCUGCACGAAUGGCGUAACGAUGGCCACACUGUCUCCUCCUGAGACUCAGCGAAGUUGAAGUGGUUGUGAAGAUGCAAUCUCCCCGCGGUUAGACGGAAAGACCCCAUGAACCUUUACUGUAGCUUUGCAUUGGACUUUGAACCGACUUGUGUAGGAUAGGUGGGAGGCUGUGAAGCCGGGACGCUAGUUCUGGUGGAGCCAACCUUGAAAUACCACCCUGGUUUGUUUGAGGUUCUAACCACGGCCCGUGAAUCCGGGUCUGGGACCGUGCAUGGUAGGCAGUUUGACUGGGGCGGUCUCCUCCUAAAGUGUAACGGAGGAGUACGAAGGUACGCUAGGUACGGUCGGACAUCGUGCUAAUAGUGCAAUGGCAAAAGCGUGCUUGACUGCGAGACCCACACGUCGAGCAGGUACGAAAGUAGGUCAUAGUGAUCCGGUGGUUCUGUAUGGAAGGGCCAUCGCUCAACGGAUAAAAGGUACUCUGGGGAUAACAGGCUAAUACCGCCCAAGAGUUCAUAUCGACGGCGGUGUUUGGCACCUCGAUGUCGGCUCAUCACAUCCUGGGGCUGUAGUCGGUCCCAAGGGUAUGGCUGUUCGCCAUUUAAAGUGGUACGUGAGCUGGGUUUAAAACGUCGUGAGACAGUUUGGUCCCUAUCUGCCGUGGGCGCUGGAAAUUUGAAGGGGGCUGCUCCUAGUACGAGAGGACCGGAGUGGACGAACCUCUGGUGUACCGGUUAUGACGCCAGUCGUAUUGCCGGGUAGCUAAGUUCGGAAGAGAUAAACGCUGAAAGCAUCUAAGCGUGAAACUCGCCUUAAGAUGAGAUUUCCCUGGGGACUUGAUCCCCCUGAAGGGUCGUGGUAGACCACCACGUUGAUAGGCUGGGUGUGGAAGCGCAGCAAUGCGUUAAGCUAACCAGUACUAAUUGCCCGUGAGGCUUGAUCAU
rnacentral:rRNA from 1 species